CACACUUGUUACCCUGGAGUGGGCAGACCUGGCUGGCAAUGAGAUCUGAUGCCAGUCCUGCCGCUCCAGCGCUGGCCUACAGGUUGUGAACUUUCAAAGAUGUGGCUGUGAGGACCGGAUGGAAUUGGAGGCCCAGAGAAAGGAUGACGAGAGAAAAGAGCGAGAAGAAGAAACUGAAGAACUGAAGGGAUUCACGACACAGGAAACGGCAAGGGGAUUGUCUCUACUUACGGAGGCACUGUUAGCUUUUGCGGCACCGGACCGGAAAGUAGAAAGAAGCGUGGAAGUUGCAGCAGCCGUUCAGAAUGCAAUCCAGGGCUACUGUGGCAUCCCCGGCGAGAGAGACGAGCCACCACCCAGAAACCACUGGGUCAUUUUUUCAAGAGGACCGGUGGAAUUGAAUCUGGUGUGGAACCAGAGCUUGUGCCAGCAACGUCAGCUGUGAGUGGAACUGCAGCCUCCCUCCGUCUCUGUUGCUGACGACCCUUCGGCUCGUCCAUCGCCCACCUCCGCUCCCUCCUCCAUCUCUAACUCUCCUCGCCUGUCCGCCCGAUGCCCGCCCCGAACGCUAGCUGUUGUGCUGUGCUACUGUCCUUUUCAAGGUCCUGUACUGUAAG
ensembl:lncRNA